rnacentral:piRNA from 1 species
UAGCCUCUCAUUUCCACUCGUUGGGCAGA